AUGGUCAUCUCAUCAAUGGACCAGCUGGAGGGAUUCCUGGCAGAGUGAUUUGGGAUUAUAUCAUAAAAUCACAUUGCCAGGGAUUUCCAACCAGCUGUGAACUGUUUACUCCAGGAAAG
rnacentral:pre_miRNA from 8 species